UUACUCGUAAUGUUUUUAAUUGAAAGUUUAAACUUAACAUUACUAAUUAAUUCCUAAAAUCUAUUAAAUCCUAUUUAAGACUUUAUCCUAAAAUUCUAAAUCUAAUCAUAUUCUGAUUCUAAUUUGACAACUAAUUAAAAUGAUUUCUAAAAGUUCAAUUCUAUUAAACUAAUUCUAAAAUUAAUUUCUAAUUAAAAUUUCCAAUAAUCCUAAUUACUUCUAAUUAAUCCUAAUCUAGCUUAAGAAUAUUCUAAACUCUAUUCACAAGCUAAUUAACAAAAAAAAUAAAAUAAACAGGUCCAAGCCAGGGGUGCUAACACGGAUUGGGGGUUGUAGGAAGGAGAAUUCCGUUUGGGCCUUAGGCCCAAACCAGAUCUACCACAAAUUGAAACCAUAGAUAAGGAAAACAGAAAAGAGCUUCUGAGCAGAAGCCAACAUCCACGACGUCUCUUCCACCUCCGCCGUCACCAACGCGUCUCGCCACUUCAUCUCGUAACCGCAUAUCCAGAGAAUCCAGAAAAACAUAAGGAACAUAAAGUACUAACGACGACGCGAUUAUUAAUUCUUUCAAGUAUGGAUCACGUCCAUCAUCAACGCCGCUUCUCCGUCGUCAUCUCGAAUCACCGGUCAAGCUACCGAAUCCAAAACGACGACAAUCGAAAACACAACGGCGUCGACGCAUAGUCUAAUCAAAUUGUGGAUCCGAAACGAACAAAACGAAGACUUACCGGCUCUGUGCGUGUGGCUCUUUCGAAGAAAUUAGAUCCGCACGCGUCGUUGCAAGAAGAAGACGUUCGUGAGUUGAUUGAGACGAAGCGGAAAAUCUCUGGCUCUCGCCGGAUUUUGUUUUGGAUUUAGGUGGUGUGCAUUUGCUUUUGGGUAGCAGCUUUCGGUAGCUGCAGUUUACUCUUGGAAUGGCUGACGGUGUUUGAAUGUGUUUUGGAGUUUUAUUCAUUACGUGGCCGUUUCGUUUGCUUGCAACUUGUAGCAGUUGCUUUGGAAGCUUCAUGUGUAUUGCAGCUUCUUUCACUUUACCUUCUUUUCGUGUACAACCUAUCCAUAUUUCCUUUGGACUGUAAUGUGGACAAUUUGGCAUAUGGUUUAUAUUAUAACAUGGGUGAUGCAUAAUGUUGUAAAAUAUGUGAACUGGGUUUGGAUGUAACAUUGGAUAUGGAUGUAAUGGACGGUAGUUAAUUUGGA